GGGGCUGCAGCUCAGUUGUGGAGUGCCUGCUUUGUAUGCAGAAGGCUCCAGGUUCAAUCCAUGGCAUCUCCA